rnacentral:tRNA from 1 species
GGAGAUAUGGCGGAAAAGUUACGCGACUGGCUUGAAACUAGUUUGAUAGGAGUUCAAUUCUUC